UACGUAGGUGGCGAGCGUUGUCCGGAUUUACUGGGCGUAAAGAGCGUGCAGGCGGUCGUGCAAGUCGCGUGUGAAAGCCCCCGGCUCAACUGGGGAGGGUCACGCGAUACUGCUCGACUCGAAGGCAGGAGAGGGAAGUGGGAUUCCCGGUGUAGUGGUGAAAUGCGUAGAUAUCGGGAGGAACACCAGUGGCGAAGGCGACUUCCUGGCCUGUUCUUGACGCUGAGGCGCGAAAGCUAGGGUAGCAAACGGG
rnacentral:rRNA from 1 species